AUUGAACGCUGGCGGCAUGCCUUACACAUGCAAGUCGAACGGUAACGGGCCUUCGGGUGCCGACGAGUGGCGAACGGGUGAGUAAUACAUCGGAACGUGCCCGAUCGUGGGGGAUAACGAGGCGAAAGCUUUGCUAAUACCGCAUACGAUCUACGGAUGAAAGCAGGGGACCGCAAGGCCUUGCGCGGACGGAGCGGCCGAUGGCAGAUGAGGUAGUUGGUGGGAUAAAAGCUUACCAAGCCGACGAUCUGUAGCUGGUCUGAGAGGAUGAUCAGCCACACUGGGACUGAGACACGGCCCAGACUCCUACGGGAGGCAGCAGUGGGGAAUUUUGGACAAUGGGCGCAAGCCUGAUCCAGCCAUGCCGCGUGCAGGAUGAAGGCCUUCGGGUUGUAAACUGCUUUUGUACGGAACGAAAAGCCUUCUUUUAAUACAGGAGGGUCAUGACGGUACCGUAAGAAUAAGCACCGGCUAACUACGUG
rnacentral:rRNA from 1 species